CUUUUUGCUGCGACUCUUAUUCUUCCUGAUCUCCUCACAGCGCUCAUAGUCUGAAAGGUCCAACACUUCAUCAGCUCGUCCCAGCUCCUUCACCUGCAGGGCACACAGGUCUCACAGAUAACUCAGGUAACACAGAAAUGAGACCGAAGCAAAGCCGGUUGUUCCUCGUCCUGAAGUCAGUAAUCCAAAUGCUUCAUCCAUCGAUGACCACCAAGUCCAGGCUGAAGGUCAGCCGUGUCAGCUGCGAUCCUAACAGCUAACAAGUCCUCGUUCGGGCUCAGCAAUUAAAAGAAGGGGUUUCUAUUCCUGGUUGGACAGGAAAUCGAGCUGCUGACAGGAGGAGCUUCACAUGAGGCAAAGUUCCACCACAGAAGCAGAACAGAGUCUGAACCUCAGCCCACACAGAUGACACGGGAGGAAGAAGACAACCUAAUUUGGUCGUGAGACACUUUUCACGGAGCUUCAGUGAAUCAUGUGACAGCUGACGCCUGAUUGGUGAGACGACACUCAGAGAGAGGAACUGAGAAACGUCCAUAAAAAGCUCUGAACUCUUUGUUUUCCUGCAGAUCAGAUGAUGCGGAUGCAGAUAACUCAUAUGUCCUCGUUACAGAGUGGAACAUGAAUGCACCACAAAGACUCAAACAGCCUGCUGACUGAUGACGUGAACCCACUUCUGCAAAUACGAGUCAAAAAUUAUCACAGUCAAAAACAGAAAGUACUAAGAGGAAAAACAAGUUCAUCAAAAAAGAAAUGAAAUGGACAUGAAAACAACUAAAUAUUAAUUCAAUCGACCUGACAGAGAAAAGAAGAAUUUUAAGAAAAUUCAAUUCUAAAUAAGAAAACUCAGUUCCUAAUAAGAAGAAUCUCCACAGGAACGAUAAAUCAGGUGAACACUUGGCAAAUCAAAUGAAACCAAGUGAAGAAAACACAACAUUCUGUCUCAAACUCACACGUUCAGCCGAUGAAUAAGUAAAACCGGUGAUCCCAGCAUGAAGUUCAAGCCGCAUGAUUGACAGGACCCUUAACAGGAUAUCAUUUCUGAACAUCAUGUUCUGUGUGUGGUGAAGAAAGUUAAGGUUCUAUGAGGACGUUCUGCCCUGCGUGUGGUGCAGCAGUGAAACCGGAGCUGAGCGAGAACCAGAGGUCCGCAGCUCACACUGAAACUCGACUCCAGCAGAAAGUUGAGGAGGAACUUUCUGUUUCCAUCCAGAAUGCAGACAACAACUGGACACUGACAACACAAGCAUUACUGCACAGAGUACUCACAAAUACUUUGAGGUACUGAUGCCGCUACUAACACUUAUUCUUGUUAUUGAUUGAUUGUUUCUUAAAUGAAUUGACUCCUUCAGUCCAACGCAGACAUCUGGUUUAGAAUGAGAGGAAAACAUCUGAAGAAACUCAAACCAGAACCACAUGACCAACUGACUAACCGUCAUCAGUUCAGGUGUUCCCCGCCGUGUCAGAUUAGUGUGAAAAAGCACCGGCCCUUUAAAUUUGUGAUGACAUCACAGAAACGCACCUGCCGACAGGUGCUGUUAAAGUCAGGCAUCCUUCUGUGCUGCUGAUCGGUGAUGAAUCUCCGAUCAGUCAGUCGGCAGAGUGGCAGGUGUCAGUCACCUGUAGGCCCCACCCCCUCUGACUCACCUCU